GGAAAUAAAAGUCGUAACAAGGUUUCCGUAGGUGAACCUGCGGAAGGAUCAUUAAUGAGUUGUCAUGGGGUUCGAUGCUGGCAGCCAGUUUUUGGAUGCAUGUGCUUGCCCUAACAAUCAUCUUCUUCCAAACACCUGUGCACAUUUUUGAGGGAGUCUUGAGUUGGUUGCCGCUCUUGGGUGAUUUUCUCACAUUCCCUUAAAUCAUUAUACGCUAUUAACAAUGUUGAACGUGCUCUGUGCCGCAAGGCCAUUAAUAUAAUACAACUUUUAACAACGGAUCUCUUGGCUCUC
rnacentral:misc_RNA from 1 species